rnacentral:misc_RNA from 1 species
GUAAAAUCCAAUAUGGCCACUGGAUUUGAUUUUGCCGCACUUGUGGAAAAUCCAUUUGGAAAUCUAGGAUUUAGCCUUCUCGUGCCUUUGUGAGAUCUUUUCUGAAAUGAAAAAAGAUGAAUCUAAUUGAUCUACCACCAGAAGUACUUCUUACAAUAUUCUUAUAUCUCAGAACAAAAUUUGUAUUAAACACAGUAGCAUGUGUAUGUAAAUUGUUUUAUUACAUUAUUACACCUGAAACAACAUGGAAGACAAGGUUUGGUAAAAUUUGGCCAAAGAGGGUUACAAAUAGUGAUUCAGGUUACAUUUCACCAAGGUGGAAAGAACUUUGUCACCAACAUGAAGAAUUUGAUAAACAUUGGCUUGAGCAUGAAAUGAAGUUUGAUUCAUUUACAAUUAGUCAGGAAUUUCCAAUUGACUCUGUUUUGUUGAUGAAUUCUGGCAAGACAUUGAUAACUGGUUCUAGAGAUAGAAGUAUAUGUGUGAAAGACCUUGAAAACAUCAAGAAUGUUGAGAACCCUUCUGAACUGCAAUCCACUGUCAUUAACAGACAUGAGGGUUGGAUUUGGAGGUUGAUCAGCGAUCCCAUUACACCAGGACAAUUCUGUUCAGGCUCAUGGGAUGGCUACAUCAUGCUAUGGGAUCUUCACAGGACAGAACCGAUUAGUUCCGUUUGUCUCCGCACACCACCAAUUUCAAUGACAUGGAGAAGUAAUGAUAUGAUAGUUGCUGGUUGCUACGACAAGACCGUGCGAAUCAUCGACCCACGAACGUUCUCAGUUGUUAAAAUGUUGAAGAAACAUACACGCUCUGUGCUCUGUCUGCAUGUUGACGAUGACGUCAUUAUAUCUGGUAGCGAAGAUAAAACGUUGUGUAUUUUUGAUAGAAAAGCUGGGAAACAUUUGCAAUCAUUACAGCUUCCAUCCCCGGCAUUUUCAUUGCAUUACUGGGACGAUGGUUACAGUUUAUUACGUGUUGCUGGUCGUAAAAAUAUUUAUUUUGUUGAUUCCACUGAAAACUCGUAUAAUUUGAUCAAGACAAACCCAAACACUGGACAUUCAAAAAGAGUGAAUGAUUUUGUUCAGUUUAAAGGAGGGUUGCUUACCGCGUCUGCUGAUGGAACACUGCAGGUUCAUGAACCGUCUGUAUUAUCACAGACAAGAUUUAUUCUGGAUCAAAGGAAGGCAGAAAUAACAAGAUUGUCUACCUGUUGUGACAUGUUGGCGUCUGCUUCAAGUGAUGGGAGUAUUAGAUUAUGGAAAGUAAAAUAGCGGACAAAUUUUAAUCUCUAUAGAUUUACGUCUAUAGUUUUAAAUUUGAACAACAGUUGUGUCUUAUUGAAGUACCGUUCAUAAUUUAUUGUUGCACAUAGCCGUUGACUGGUUUGACAGCGGUAGACUGGCUGAUACCUACACUUGGCCAAAGACCGUUGCUUCUGGAGAGAAACUUGAUGUUUUAUGUUACGAGAGAGAUUGGGCAAUGACGGGUUGCAGUGGUUCUGUUGAUUACCAAAUGAAUGAAAAGAUAUCAUCAUUGGUGGUUGUGGUGCCACUGGUCCUGUACUAUUGAUGUUUGAGUGCCAAUGUACUGGAGGAACCACUAACGUGGCUA